AGCGAACGCUGGCGGCAGGCCUAACACAUGCAAGUCGAACGAACUCUUCGGAGUUAGUUGCGGACGGGUGAGUAACACGUGGGAACGUGCCUUUAGGUUCGGAAUAACUCAGGGAAACUUGUGCUAAUACCGAAUGUGCCCUUCGGGGGAAAGAUUUAUCGCCUUUAGAGCGGCCCGCGUCUGAUUAGCUAGUUGGUGAGGUAAAGGCUCACCAAGGCGACGAUCAGUAGCUGGUCUGAGAGGAUGAUCAGCCACAUUGAGACUGAGACACGGCCCAAACUCCUACGGGAGGCAGCAGUGGGGAAUCUUGCGCAAUGGGCGAAAGCCUGACGCAGCCAUGCCGCGUGAAUGAUGAAGGUCUUAGGAUUGUAAAAUUCUUUCACCGGGGACGAUAAUGACGGUACCCGGAGAAGAAGCCCCGGCUAACUUCGUG
rnacentral:rRNA from 1 species